rnacentral:rRNA from 1 species
UACGGAAGGGGCAAGCGUUGUUCGGAAUCAUUGGGCGUAAAGGGCGCGUAGGCGGUUCGGUAAGUCAGGUGUGAAAUCUCCACGCUCAACGUGGAGGCGCCACCUGAAACUGCCGUGACUCGAGUCCGGUAGGGGAGUGUGGAAUUCCCGGUGUAGCGGUGAAAUGCGCAGAUAUCGGGAGGAACACCAGUGGCGAAGGCGGCACUCUGGGCCGGUACUGACGCUGAGGAGCGAAAGCGUGGGGAGGCGAACAGG